rnacentral:rRNA from 1 species
AUGCCUUGUGUACCGAGAGAAUUCGCUAAGCACCACCUUAAUGUCGACCCUAAGAUGAAACCAGUUCGGCAAUACCUCCGUCAUUUUAACAAGGAGAGACGAAAAGCUAUUGGGGAAGAAGUGGCAUGGCUCCUAGCUAAUGGGUUCGUCGUGGAAGUAUUUCAUCCUGAGUGGCUAGCCAAUCCAGUGCUUGUCCUAAAGAAGAACGACACUUGGCGUAUGGGUGUUGACUACACAGAUCUCAACAAGGCUUGUCCCAAAGACCCGUUUGCCCUCCCCGCAUUGAUUAGAUCACCAAUUCCACUUCUGGGUGUGAAAGUUUAUGUUUCAUGGAUGCUUACUCCGGCUAUCAUCGGAAAAGAUGGUUGUUGA